rnacentral:lncRNA from 1 species
UCUGGAAAAGUGAUGGACAAAAUAAAUUAAAGAGCAAAAAACGUUUUGGAUUUUUCAUUUAUAACUGUUUUUUUGGUUUUCAAAUACAAAUGGGGAAGUACGAUGACAAAAGACUCGACAGACUCGGCUAGACAAUGAUAGACUCUGACAUCCCCUAAAAGACUCAAUACUACUGGACAAGACAAGAAAUUAAAAUAAAACAUGAAAACAGACUCAAAAAUAUAAAAAGUCUCCUCAAACAACUCCUCAAGGCAAUAGUCCUGGCUGGGAUGGUCCUAGGGCGUCUGUCAUGCACAAGCUCUGGGAAGUGGAUCCAAACCUGAAUGAUAAGGAUAAUAAAAAAAAAAAGAGUUAGUGACUCAAGACACUACGUAAGCCAUAACAUCUCCUAUUGGACACAUGCAAGACACGAUUGAAGCUAUUUUUGCAAACUGGCCUACAUGGCCAAAAGGUAGCUAGAAAUGCAAACUCAAUAAGGGUGACCUCUAAGACAUGCAAACACCUCACGAAGGCCUAUAUGGCCUUAAACUUCAAGGAAUCAUAAACCCCAGAAUUACUUUGCAAAAAUGACCCCUUUGCAGAAACGGUCUAUGUGGCAAAAAAUGGCUGAGCAUACAAAUUCAAUAAUAAUGGACCUUAAAGUAAGGAUACACCUAAUUUUGGAUUCAAGACUCUCUGAAUACGGUUCAACAAGCCACUUUACAAAAAUAGCCCUAUUUUGCAGAACGGCCGAUGUGGCCAAAAGUGGCAAGACAUGCAAGAUUUGGCUACGACUCCCGAAGCCAAAAACUUGAGACUCACUAGGAAGAGGAGGAAGACCGGACCCUAUAUGGGUUGCCUACGUAUCCCGCCUCGAAAAACGAGAAUCAGGUAUGCGUAGUUCGGGAGGAUUGGAUAUGGGACAAAGCUUUGAAAAUGCAACUAAUUUGAAAAACUAUACUAUUUUGUUUUGUCUUUUUUUUUGAAAAAUGAUAAGAAAGUGUAAAUUUUUUUUUUUUUGUAAUUAUUUUUUCUUUUUUGAAAAUGGAGCAAUAAAAGUAAAAGUGAUAAAACCCUCAAUAUUCUCUCUUACUAUAUUUUUCACUCUUAUUUCCCAAACAUUAGUCCGCCAAAUGACCUUUCUACUAUCAAAUAUGCGACAUUUAGCAUAUAGGAUAAUUGAAUGUCAUUUUGGGCCAGCGGGCCCAUUUGACACAACUUGGACAAGCUUCCUAUAAAGGAACACGGUACCUAGGACCGGGCUUUACUACGUCAUAAUGAUAUGAUGCACAUAAUCGUGACCUAAAGGCGGACCUAUGUUUAGGGUUCACUAACAAGGCAAUUCGGAGGAGCAUAUGGUCGAUGGUGGUUGCUGAAGCUUUCCACCCACUCCAUACGUCUGACGCCUCCCCCUUCCCCCUCCCCCCCACCCCAAAAUAAAGGUGACUCAACAAAGAGUUCAUGUACGCGAUGCGUACUAUGAGACUUGUUGCAGAAAGAAUUGACCCAGGGUUAUGCAAGUGAUGACAGUUAUAAAGCAGUAACACAUAAAAGCAAAAACUGUAAACACAUAAACAACUAGCAAAUAAUAAAACAAAAUACAAAUAAAAAGAAAGCAAUUAAAGAACAUAAAAACCUCAACCAAAUAUUCUAAAAAGCCAACAAGAUGAAGUAUCAGCUCGAACCUGCAACUCCCCAGCGGAGUCGCCAAAGCUGUCACACCCCUUUUUUUCACCUCACUAACUCUCUUUAAAAUAUAAAAAUAUGGUUUUAAAGCUCUAAAGGGUUUUCAAUUGAAAGUGACAAAAAUAUUGUGUUUCAAAGGAUUUUUCAAAGUCGCCACUUGACAUUUAAUUUCGGUGUGUCAAGUCACAGUUUUAAAAAAAAAAUUCCUUUUAAAACACAUUAGACUCUAAAACAUAGUCUGCACCAGAAAUUCUAAGUAAGGGGGUACAUUUGACUCGGGGAGAAGGUUUUAGGCAUUCCCCGAGUCCCGUAACUAGUACAGUUGCGUACAUGAUCAUGUUGUCUUAAAAGAAUACUCAAACUGAGGCAAAAAAUACACGAAAAAAAAAUAAACACACGAGAGGCUCGCGGUUAUCUCCACCAAAAUAAAGACAAGAAAAUAAAAUAAUAGGAAAAUAUUAAAAUCUAUACUAUUCUCACUUCACAAUGUCCGUCAUGGCCUCCAACUACAUUCUCUACGGGGCAUACCCCGGAUAAUAAUAAUCAACUAACGGGGACAACCUCUCACCUCAAAUAAAAUAAACAAAAAAUCCUAAAAUUUGCCUACCCAAGUGUGGUCGGCCUAAAACAUGUUCCUAACGAUCAACGAGAAGCAAGAAAUAAACAAAUAGAAAUGAUAAAAUAAAAAAAUAUCACAUUAAUAUUAAUUCUCUUUUCCAUGUUCAAUACCCAGACCCCCCACAAUACAAUUCAAGCAUCAAGAUGACAUCCCUUUUAAUUUCUUUCAUUUUUGCUUAAGAAUCUUGGCGUACGAAUGUUCACGUGAAAUUUUGGCCAUUUAUCGAGCAAACAUUUGCAUCCAAACAUUUUCAACAAACAAAAAUCUAGACAUUAAGCUUAUGGAACUGCCCAUGAAUAGACUAAACUGAUCUAUACUCCUAAUACGGAAAUUUCAGAAAAUUCAAGUUUAACAGAUCCAAGCAAUUAAGUUCUAUAUUAUUGAACCCAUUAAUUUAAGAACUCAAAUCAAACUCACUUUGUUACUUAAAUGAAUUUAAUCCAAAUCCUACUCCCAAUUUUAAGACUUAUACUUAUCAAAUGUGAAACUAAAUUAAGCAAACCAAAAUCACCUUCCUCAUUGACAUGUCACUGCCAACAGAGAGUGUCAAGCACAAAAGGAACGAGAAUCAGACAACAAAUUAGGUUUAAAUUCAUUUUAGACAUAGACUAACAUAGAGGAACAUGAAUGAGAUAACCAAACAACCAUUAAUUCAUUUCAAGCAGAGAGUGAGAUAGAAGAGACGAACCUCAAUGUAGAGCUUUUCCAAUUAAAGGAAACUCCGGCAAUGUAUACAGCGAAUAAAAUGGACAACAAUCUAACUCGACCACACAGGAACCUUCGAUCGGAGAAAAACUCGUCGGCGACCUCAACGGAAAACUCGAACUCGACCCUUUCUCACGUAAUCUUUCGCGAAAACAGAGCUUGAGCUAUGAUGUUUGGGGUUGUCCUUGUGGGGUUUUAGGGGCUAAUUUUGGUGCGUUUUGUUUUUUGGAUUUCGUUGAUUUUUAACUCCUGUCUCGGACUGAUUUUUGCUGGGAUUUUGGUGUGGAAACAGGGCUAGUUUGGGAUUUACUGCAUAGUUAGGUUAGGUUCAUAGAAGAAGAUCUUGUGCUUAUACUCUAGUGGUCAGAUUAAAAAUGAAAUCCUAUAAAAAAAAAAAUUAAUGGAGUUAAAAGGAAGAAUUGUUUCAAUAGAGAGGAUGGGCUUUUUCUCCCUUUCUCUAUCCGUUCACCCUCUUUAUAUCACUCUUUAAAAUUCUCUUUCCCCUCAAAGUGUUGCCUCCACUCAAACUCUCUUUCCCGAAAAUCCUCCCUUCCCAUCAAAGUGUUGUCCCCA